GUUUUUCCAAGUGGAAAGAUUGAGCAGAAUAUGAAAUUGAGACCACAGAUCAGAGAUGCUGUCUAAAACGGUUGGGCACAGAUAGUGAUGAUGCUGCGAUUUUUGAGCAACGCUUCAGUACAAUCACUCACUCAGAACAUUGGCAUUGGAUCAACAACAGCAAUGAAAUGAGAGAUGCUGCCUGACCCAUUAAGUUACUCCAGCAUUCUGCAUCUAUCUUCGGUGUAAACCAGCAUCUGCAGGUCCUUCCUACACCCUGGCCUAUCUUUCUACUGAAUUAAUUUUAUACUGUUCUUGCAAUAAUUACUCUGCACUAGUUCAAUUUGCAAUUAUAUAUAUAUAAAAUAUACAAUGUAACAAUGUUCGUACUCACCAAUUAAUGUCAGCAAUGUUUUAAUGUUUAAUUGAUAAUUAUCUUGGGUCAUAUAAUGUAAAAAUGCAUGUUUAGUGCACUUAGAAAUGUUACUAUUUCUAGAGCCAUGUAGUGACUUGCUUGAAUGAUUCAAUGCAGCUACUUAUCACAUUAGAAAGCUUUACGAUGCUGCUCUUGCUGUUACCACUAGAUUUCUUCUUGCUUCACUUGCUGUGGAGUCUGCUCUAACAUAUUGCAAGUCUUUUUACAUUAGGGCGCCUGCAAGUCAGUGACAUAUGGACACUAAUGCUGUUUUCUUGUCAUAGCCACUGUUCUCCCUUUUUUUGUCAAUUUAUUUAAACAGAUUUUUUUGCAUCACAUGAUAAUAUUUUAACUUGUUAAUCAUGGUGAACAGACAAACGGAUGUUUUGCCUUUUCUAAGAUGUAGCCAUGAUUAUAAUUUGGUGUGAAUUCUAAGUAGAUAAUUAAAUUAAAAAUAAUAAUAUACCCAAUAAAUGAUGUCUACUCAACAUCAUAGUCAAGACAAUACACUGUUUGAGGAUAUUGGGUGUACUGGUUUUGUGAUAUUAUUUAAAUAGGUAUUUACAGUUAAAAUUGUGAUAGAUGAGAUAAUGUGAUUGGUGUAUGGUACCGGAUUAACUUAAUCAACUUUAUCAUUUAUCAUUAUCACAAAUAUAAUAACGUGAGUUUCAAAAUAUCGCAUUUGACAAAAUAAACCACUUUCAUAUUACUCUUA